rnacentral:rRNA from 1 species
UACGAAGGGGGCUAGCGUUGCUCGGAAUUACUGGGCGUAAAGGGCGCGUAGGCGGAUGUUUAAGUCGGGGGUGAAAGCCCAGGGCUCAACCCUGGAAUUGCCUUCGAUACUGGACAUCUUGAGUGCGGGAGAGGUGAGUGGAACUCCGAGUGUAGAGGUGAAAUUCGUAGAUAUUCGGAAGAACACCAGUGGCGAAGGCGACUCACUGGCCCGUUACUGACGCUGAUGCGCGAAAGCGUGGGGAGCAAACAGG